rnacentral:rRNA from 1 species
CCUACGGGGAGCAGCAGUGGGGAAUAUUGCACAAUGGGCGCAAGCCUGAACGAGCGAUGCCGCGUGAGUGAAGAAGGCCUUCGGGUCGUAAAGCUCUGUUGCGGGGGAAAAAAGGCAGCAUCAGGAAAUGGGUGCUGACUGAUGGUGCCCCGCCAGAAAGUCACGGCUAACUACGUGCCAGCAGCCGCGGUAAUACGUAGGUGGCGAGCGUUAUCCGGAUUGAUUGGGCGUAAAGGGUGCGCAGACGGUCCUGCAAGUCUGGAGUGAAACGCAUGGGCUCAACUCAUGCAUGGCUUUGGAUACUGGAGGACUGGAGAGCAGGAGAGGGCGGUGGAACUCCAUGUGUAGCGGGUAAAUGCGUAGAUAUAUGGAAGAACACCAGUGGCGAAGGCGGCCGCCUGGCCUGUUGCUGACGCUGAGGCACGAAAGCGUGGGGAGCAAAUAGGAUUAGAUACCCCUGUAGUC